rnacentral:tRNA from 1 species
GGGCAUGUGGCUCAAAGGAGUAGGGCGCUGGCCCUAUAUACCAGAGGUGGUGGGUUCAGACCCAGCCUUGGUCA